rnacentral:rRNA from 1 species
UUUUUAGAGUUUUGAUUCCCCGCUCAGAGUGAACGCUGGCGGUAGGCCUAACACAUGCAAGUCGAACGGCAGCACAGUAAGAGCUUGCUCUUAUGGGUGGCGAGUGGCGGACGGGUGAGGAAUACAUCGGAAUCUACCUUUUCGUGGGGGAUAACGUAGGGAAACUUACGCUAAUACCGCAUACGACCUUCGGGUGAAAGCAGGGGACCUUCGGGCCUUGCGCGGAUAGAUGAGCCGAUGUCGGAUUAGCUAGUUGGCGGGGUAAAGGCCCACCAAGGCGACGAUCCGUAGCUGGUCUGAGAGGAUGAUCAGCCACACUGGAACUGAGACACGGUCCAGACUCCUACGGGAGGCAGCAGUGGGGAAUAUUGGACAAUGGGCGCAAGCCUGAUCCAGCCAUACCGCGUGGGUGAAGAAGGCCUUCGGGUUGUAAAGCCCUUUUGUUGGGAAAGAAAAGCAGUCGGCUAAUACCCGGUUGUUCUGACGGUACCCAAAGAAUAAGCACCGGCUAACUUCGUGCCAGCAGCCGCGGUAAUACGAAGGGUGCAAGCGUUACUCGGAAUUACUGGGCGUAAAGCGUGCGUAGGUGGUUGUUUAAGUCUGUUGUGAAAGCCCUGGGCUCAACCUGGGAAUUGCAGUGGAUACUGGGCGACUAGAGUGUGGUAGAGGUA